ensembl:lncRNA
GUUUCUAGGUUGGGAAUUAAAUGCACUAAUGGUUCCCACUCAUUCCUAAUUGGCACCAAAUUACACACAGUGGGCUCAGCAGGGGCCGAGGCGGCAGCUGGCGUCAGGGUGGUAGGAAGUCAGCCUUAUCAGAGCUGCGUGGGGUUCUUAGUCUUACAGAAGCCCGCACUGGGAGCACUGUGCUGGGAGUCCUUAGUCCUUCUUCUGGGGCAGUGGGAGGAGUCCAGGUUUUGGGGUUAGGGACAGCCCAGCUGCAUCUCACCCUCAGCCCAAGGAUGUUGUAGCCCAACCAUCAGCAUUUCGUUCCUUGCGGAUGAGUCUUCUUCUGGCCUCUGGGAAUCUGUUUGAAGACACAAAUGCCCCUGGGAGGCUGCUGAUUUCCACUUGUCCAUCAGUCCAUCGACCUGUCCAUCCAUCACCCGCUGAAGGGAAGCAGAAAUGAAUACGAAGUGGAACCCACCUGUCCUCCAGAAACCCAGCAGAACAGCGCUGCGCUCACGGCAGAAGAGGAUGGAAAUGCUCUUUCAGCAAGAUGACAGCAGGAAAGAUUCCCCUGACUUUCGAUGGCGCCAGGUCACAUGGAUGAAAUCUUCCAUCCCUCCCUUUCUUCUCUCCAGCUGUCACCCAGGACUUCAGAGUUUCUCCUCCAAUCCCCAUCUUCCUGCCCCUAGCAUGUGGUUGAGUAACUCACAAACUACAGGAGAGCCACCAAGAAGAGGCUGGGAAGGGGUGGUGGUGAUCAGGAGUUAAGUUAGAGAACAGACAAUCUGCACCUUCAUCAGGAUCGACACCAGUGUGUGUGCACGUCUUCCUGUGUCUGUAUUUGGCUGACAGGUGACUGAUACCUUUUGUGAUAGGGAAAGCAGGAGGGGUCAGACCUGGACACUCUCUGCUAGGUUUAUUCUGAUGGGAACAGGAGGAGACAAUCCCCUUGCCUCCUUCAAACCUCAUACUUCUAUUGAUGCCACCUGAGGACACAUAGGCUUUUUGGUAGCUGCCCAAUCCCAUUGAUUCUAUUCAUACUUGGCGUAGAUU